UAAACUGGGAUUAGAUACCCCACUAUUUUUAUAAAAAAAUAUUUAGUAGUAAGUGAAAGUCAUGAAACUAAAAAUUUUUGGCGGUACCUUUUAACUAAUUUGAGGAAUUUAUCCUUUAAAGGAUUAAACACCAAAAUCUUACUUUUGUUUGUAAUAUUAUAUCAAUUUGUAUACCUCUUUUUUUUAAAAACAUCAUAGAAUAUUUUUUUAAAUCUACUCUUUAGAAAGUUUUUAGGGCAAGGUGCAGUUUUUACAAAAGAAUGAGAUAAAUUAUAAUAAAUUUUUAUUUUACAAUAUAAAAAAUGUAAUAAUAAAUAAUUAGUAAAAUUUAAAAGUAAAAA
rnacentral:rRNA from 1 species